AAAUUGCCCAUCACAGACUGCCCUCACCCCAUACCUUCCGAUCACCAAAUAUGGAUGUGAGCCCAUGCCCUACCUUGGCCCGAUAAAAGACCCCUCCCCCACCAACUCCCUCCCAGUGCGACUUCCCUCACUCC